rnacentral:rRNA from 1 species
UACGUAGGGUGCAAGCGUUGUCCGGAAUUAUUGGGCGUAAAGAGCUCGUAGGCGGCUUGUCACGUCGGGUGUGAAAGCCCGGGGCUUAACCCCGGGUCUGCAUUCGAGUACGGGCUGGCGUAGAGUGUGGUAGGGGAGAUCGAAUUCCUGGUGUAGCGGUGAAAUGCGCAGAUAUCAGGAGGAACACCGGUGGCGAAGGCGGAUCUCUGGGCCAUUACUGACGCUGAGGAGCGAAAGCGUGGGGAGCGAACAGG